UUAUAUGGUCAAGAAGAGAAGCGCAAACGGUGGAUGCCUUGGCAGUAAGAGGCGAAGAAGGACGUGGAAUCCUGCGAAAAGCUAUGGGGAGCUGGAAACGAGCGUUGAGCCAUAGAUGUCCGAAUGGGGGAACCCGGCUGCAGCGAUGCGGUCAUUUGCAUUUGAAUACAUAGGAUGCAAAGGCGAACUCGGGGAACUGAAACAUCUAAGUACCCGAAGGAAAAGAAAUCAAGAGAGAUUCUCCAAGUAGCGGCGAGCGAACGGGGAGGAGCCUGGCGUGAUUUAUUAUUGAACUGAGUAGAACAAUUUGGGAAAGUUGGCGAUAGAGGGUGAAAGCCCCGUAUACGAAGGUUUGAUGAGGAACUAGGCACGCGAACAAGUAGGCCGGGACACGUGAAAUCCUGGUUGAAGAUGGGUGGACCAUCAUCCAAGGCUAAAUACUACUUACUGACCGAUAGUGAACUAGUACCGUGAGGGAAAGGUGAAAAGAACCCCGGAGAGGGGAGUGAAAUAGAAUCUGAAACCGUUUGCGUACAAGCAGUGGGAGCAUGGUUUAGGCUGUGUGACUGCGUACCUUUUGUAUAAUGGGUCAGCGAGUUAC
rnacentral:rRNA from 1 species